GGGCAUAUGGUGUAGGGGUUAUCACGUUCGCUUUGCAUCGCAGUGGAUGCGAAAGGUCUCCGGUUCAAAUCCGGAUUUGUCCA
rnacentral:tRNA from 1 species